rnacentral:rRNA from 1 species
CCUACGGGAGUCAGCAGUGAGGAAUAUUGGUCAAUGGACGAGAGUCUGAACCAGCCAAGUAGCGUGAAGGAUGACUGCCCUAUGGGUUGUAAACUUCUUUUAUAAAGGAAUAAAACGAGGCACGUGUGCCUUUUUGCAUGUACUUUAUGAAUAAGGAUCGGCUAACUCCGUGCCGGCAGCCGCGGUAAUACGGAGGAUCCGAGCGUUAUCCGGAUUUAUUGGGUUUAAAGGGAGCGUAGAUGGGUUGUUAAGUCAGUUGUGAAAGUUUGCGGCUCAACCGUAAAAUUGCAAUUGAUACUGGUAGUCUUGAGUACAGUUGAGGUAGGCGGAAUUCGUGGUGUAGCGGUGAAAUGCUUAGAUAUCACGAAGAACCCCGAUUGCGAAGGCAGCUUACUAAACUGUGACUGACAUUGAUGCUCGAAAGUGUGGGUAUCAAACAGGAUUAGAUACCCUGGUAGUC